rnacentral:rRNA from 1 species
AAUGAACGCUGGCGGCAUGCCUAACACAUGCAAGUCGAACGAAGGCUUCGGCCUUAGUGGCGCACGGGUGCGUAACGCGUGGGAAUCUGCCCUCAGGUUCGGAAUAACAGCGAGAAAUUGCUGCUAAUACCGGAUGAUAUCGCGAGAUCAAAGAUUUAUCGCCUGAGGAUGAGCCCGCGUAGGAUUAGCUAGUUGGUGUGGUAAAGGCGCACCAAGGCGACGAUCCUUAGCUGGUCUGAGAGGAUGAUCAGCCACACUGGGACUGAGACACGGCCCAGACUCCUACGGGAGGCAGCAGUGGGGAAUAUUGGACAAUGGGCGAAAGCCUGAUCCAGCAAUGCCGCGUGAGUGAUGAAGGCCUUAGGGUUGUAAAGCUCUUUUACCCGGGAUGAUAAUGACAGUAACCGGGAGAAUAAGCUCCGGCUAAC